rnacentral:rRNA from 1 species
UACGGGGGGAGCAAGCGUUGUUCGGAUUUACUGGGCGUAAAGGGCGCGUAGGCGGCCAGCACAAGUCAGUUGUGAAAUCUCCGAGCUUAACUCGGAACGGUCAACUGAUACUGUGCGGCUAGAGUGCGGAAGGGGCAACUGGAAUUCUUGGUGUAGCGGCGAAAUGCGUAGAUAUCAGGAAGAACACCAAUGGCGAAAGCAGCUCUCUGGGACGGUACUGACGCUGAGACGCGAAAGCGUGGGGAGCGAACAGG